GCUCCAUUGGCCCAGUGGAUAAGGCGUCUGACUUCUAAUCAGAAGAUCCCCGGUUCGACCCCGGGAUGGAGCU
rfam:Rhabditophanes sp. KR3021 genome assembly, scaffold: RSKR_contig0000035